rnacentral:rRNA from 1 species
GGGGCAGGCAUGGGCGCAGCCUGAUCCAGCGACGCCGCGUGGGUGAUGAAGGCCUUCGGGUUGUAAAGCCCUUUCGGUGGGGAAGAAAAGCCUCGGGCUAAUACCUCAGGGUCUUGACGUAACCCAUACAAGAACCCCCGGCUAACUCUGUGCCAGCAGCCGCGGUAAUACAAAGGGUGCGAGCGUUAAUCGGAAUUACUGGGCGUAAAGCGCGCGUAGGCGGCUUUGCAAGUCGGGUGUGAAAUCCCCAGGCUUAACCUGGGAACUGCAUUCGAGACUGCAUUGCUUGAGUAUGGGAGAGGGAAGUGGAAUUUCCGGUGUAGCGGUGAAAUGCGUAAAUGUCGGAAGGAACAUCAGUGGCGAAAGCGACUUCCUGGACCAAUACUGACGCUCAUGUGCG